UACGUAGGGCGCAAGCGUUGUCCGGAAUUAUUGGGCGUAAAGAGCUCGUAGGCGGUUUGUCGCGUCUGCUGUGAAAUCCUCAGGCUCAACUUGGGGCGUGCAGUGGGUACGGGCAGACUAGAGUGCGGUAGGGGAGACUGGAAUUCCAGGUGUAGCGGUGAAACGCGUAGAUAUCUGGAGGAAUACCGGUGGCGAAGGCGGCAUCCUGGACCGGAAUUGACACUGAGGAGCGAAAGCCAGGGGAGCAAACGGG
rnacentral:rRNA from 1 species